CACGUAGGGGGCGAGCGUUGUCCGGAUUUAUUGGGCGUAAAGCGUGCGCAGGCGGUUAUGUAAGACAGAUGUGAAAUGCCCGGGCUUAACCUGGGAACUGCAUUUGUGACUGCAUGGCUAGAGUUUGGCAGAGGGGGGGUAGAAUUCCACGUGUAGCAGUGAAAUGCGUAGAUAUGUGGAGGAACACCGAUGGCGAAGGCAGCCCCCUGGGUCAAGACUGACGCUCAUGCACGAAAGCGUGGGGAGCAAACGAGGAU
rnacentral:rRNA from 1 species